rnacentral:rRNA from 1 species
GAUGAACGCUGGCGGCGUGCCUAAUACAUGCAAGUCGAGCGAACGGACGAGAAGCUUGCUUCUCUGAUGUUAGCGGCGGACGGGUGAGUAACACGUGGAUAACCUACCUAUAAGACUGGGAUAACUUCGGGAAACCGGAGCUAAUACCGGAUGAUAUUUUGAACCGCAUGGUUCAAAAGUGAAAGACGGUCUUGCUGUCAUUUAUAGAUGGAUCCGCGCUGCAUUAGCUAGUUGGUAAGGUAACGGCUUACCAAGGCAACGAUGCAUAGCCGACCUGAGAGGGUGAUCGGCCACACUGGAACUGAGACACGGUCCAGACUCCUACGGGAGGCAGCAGUAGGGAAUCUUCCGCAAUGGGCGAAAGCCUGACGGAGCAACGCCGCGUGAGUGAUGAAGGUCUUCGGAUCGUAAAACUCUGUUAUUAGGGAAGAACAUAUGUGUAAGUAACUGUGCACAUCUUGACGGUACCUAAUCAGAAAGCCACGGCUAACUACGUG